GACCUCGCCUCACGGCGAAAAAUAAACUAAAAACGGAGGUGUCAGUAGACCGGGUAAAUAUCCGGGCCGACCACAACGACGUUAAAGAAAAAGCAGACAA
rnacentral:sRNA from 20 species